rnacentral:lncRNA from 1 species
AAAAUACUUUAUGUUGUAAGAGUUAUCUUCCCAAACACUGUUUUUCUUGUGGCCACUACUCCUUCGCAACCGUAAAAGAUUACGACAAAUUUAUUUUACCAAAUUGCUCGUUACUUCUUCAGGAUCAGGAUAUUCAUUUCUACCGAAGCUAUCCGGAGACUCCAUAUGAGAGUUAUUUCCCCUUAUGCAUUUGAUAUAAGUGAUAUGCGUUUUUAACUGGUAAACCAUCAGUGAUAUAGG